AUGGAGUUCUUCACAGAAUAUGGGGAGGCAAGCCAGUAUCAGAUCGAAGAGAUCAUUGGCAAGGGAAGCUUCGGAGUAGUUGCUGCUGCAGUAGAUACCCAAACUGGGGAGCGGGUUGCGAUCAAGAAGAUACAUGAUAUGUUUGAGCAUGCCUCAAAUGGCACCCGCAUUCUUCGGGAAAUCAAGCUUCUUCGGCUUCUCCGCCACCCAAACAUAGUUGAGACCAAACACAUCCUGCUUCCCCCUGCCCGAAGGGAGUUCAGAGAUAUUUAUGUUGUUUUUGAGCUCAUGGAGUCGGACCUACAGAAAGUGAUCCAAGCAAAUGAGAACCUCACUGCAGGGCAUCACCGUUUUUUCUUGUAUCAACUUCUUCAUGCCCUCAAGUACAUCCAUGCAGCUAAUGUAUUUCAUCGUGACUUAAAACCGAGCAACAUACUUGUCAAUUCAAACUGCAAACUAAAGAUCUGUGACUUUGGGCUUGCACGCGCAUCGCGUGAUGAUCCUCCCUUGGCUAUAUUUUGGACUGACUAUGUGGCUACAAGGUGGUACCGUGCUCCUGAAUUAUGUGGCUCAUUUUUCUCCAAAUACACCCCUGCAAUUGAUAUUUGGAGCAUAGGGUGCAUAUUUGCUGAAGUUCUCACUCGAAAACCAUUAUUUCCUGGGACGAACGUCAAGCACCAACUAGAUCUGAUAACAGAUGUCCUUGGAACUCCAUCAUAUGAAACCCUAUCCCAGAUUCGUAAUGAGAAGGCCAGGAUAUAUUUGACUGGCAUGAAGAGGAAACAUCCUAUCCCCUUUCCUAGUAUGUUUUGUAACGCUGAUCCUCAGGCUGUCCGUCUCCUAGAACGCUUACUCGCAUUUGAUCCUAAAGAUCGACCUACUGCUGAAGAGGCUUUAGCUGAUCCAUAUUUUGAAGGAUUUCCUAAUUUGGAACAUGAGCCUUCACCACACCCCUUUUCAAAACUUGAGUUUGAAUUUGAGAGAUGGAAGCUAACAAAGGAUGGUAUAAGAGAUCUGAUAUAUCGAGAGAUUUUGGAGUACCAUCCACAGAUGCUUCAGGAUUAUAUCGGAGCUGGAGGACAGACUAGUUUCGUCUAUCCAAGUGGGGUUGAUGGUAUGAGACUGCAGUUUGUACAUCUUGAGGAGAACCACCUCAGAGGAGAAAGAGGUACUCCACUGCGGAGGCGACAUGCAUCUUUGCCAAGGGAAAGAGUCUGUGCACCAAAAGGUAGCGAUAAUCAAGACUGUAACAAUGAGAGAAGGAGGACAGCAUCUUCUGCUGCCCAAACUACCAUAAGAUCACAACAAGAGGGGCUGACACAUGCAUAUGUUUAUCAAAAUGGCACAAGCAUUCCGAACUUCUGCUCUGGGUAUUACUUGCAGAAUGGUAGUACCAGUGCUUCCAGUUGUGUCAUCGAUGAGCAUGAAGGCCUGGAGGAGAACGGCGUCUCCGAGGAGGAGAAGGUGGCCUAUGAACUGUCACAAUGUUUUGCCAGGAUUUAG
rnacentral:rRNA from 1 species